CGGGAAUUUUGCGCAAUGGACGAAAGUCUGACGCAGCAACGCCGCGUGAGUGAUGAAGGCCUUCGGGUCGUAAAGCUCUGUCAGCGGGGAAGAACCACCUGAAGGUUAAUAUCCUUCAGGCCUGACGGUACCCUCAAAGGAAGCACCGGCUAACUCCGUGCCAGCAGCCGCGGUAAUACGUAGGUGGCAAGCGUUGUUCGGAAUUACUGGGCGUAAAGGGCACGUAGGCGGAUUGUUAAGUCGGAGGUGAAAUCCUGAGGCUCAACCUCAGAAUAGCCUUCGAUACUGGCGAUCUCGAGUACGGGAGAGGUGAGUGGAAUUCCCAGUGUAGAGGUGAAAUUCGUAGAUAUUGGGAAGAACACCAGUGGCGAAGGCGGCUCACUGGCCCGUAACUGACGCUGAGGUGCGAAAGCGUGGGGAGCAA
rnacentral:rRNA from 1 species